AAGGAAGCAUUUGUUGCUCAUUUGUAUAAAACCCAACAAAAAACAAUACUGAAAGUACUGCCAUUGUCUUUUUCAAAAAGCCUAAAAACACACUUUUAGAUUAGUUGCACAGAAUAGAAUGAAAUUUUGUAGUAGUUUAUGGAUCAAUAUAUGUGUGUGCGCGCGCGCGUGUGUGUAAUUUUCAAUCAGUUAUCCUGAUGAACAUAUAUCUAGAAAAAUUGGAAAUUUGAACAUACAUGUAGCAAGUGCACUAAAUAGUGAUGAAACAUUCAGCAAAAAGGUGGAUUUUAAACCUAUAUCUAGCAAAAAGAUUGAAUGUUGAUCAUCUAUCCAGCAAAAAGAUGAAUGCUUGAACAUAUGUCUAGCAAAGAGUUAUAAAUUUGAACAUUAAAGUUUCUCUUGACAUAACAAAGACCCAGGUCGAAACAAAUAAUCAAUCAAUUACUCACUAUAUGUCAAUUUCACAAAGAACUGAACACAAACCUAGCUAAUAGUUUUAAUUGAAUUUUGAACAUAUAUCUACCAGAAAGAAAUAAUCU
rnacentral:lncRNA from 1 species